GACGAACGCUGGCGGCGUGCUUAACACAUGCAAGUCGAACGGUAAGGCCCUUCGGGGUACACGAGUGGCGAACGGGUGAGUAACACGUGGGUGAUCUGCCCUGCACUUCGGGAUAAGCCUGGGAAACUGGGUCUAAUACCGGAUAUGACCGCUCCUCGCAUGGGGUGUGGUGGAAAGAUUUAUCGGUGCAGGAUGGGCCCGCGGCCUAUCAGCUUGUUGGUGGGGUAAUGGCCUACCAAGGCGACGACGGGUAGCCGGCCUGAGAGGGCGACCGGCCACACUGGGACUGAGACACGGCCCAGACUCCUACGGGAGGCAGCAGUGGGGAAUAUUGCACAAUGGGCGCAAGCCUGAUGCAGCGACGCCGCGUGAGGGAUGACGGCCUUCGGGUUGUAAACCUCUUUCAGCAGGGACGAAGCGCAAGUGACGGUACCUGCAGAAGAAGCACCGGCCAACUACGUGCCAGCCGCCGCAGUAAAAC
rnacentral:rRNA from 1 species